GUUUUUGGAUGAUGCAGUUCAAGCAGAAGGUCAUCUCUUUCACUGUAAAUGGAGAUUUGCCUUGGGGACUUUGGAGGAGCACAGAAAUAGGACUACAUGAAAAUUUUGAAGAGCAAUUUUAUAACAAAAAAAGUUCAAUAUCUAGUCCGAAGAUCUGACCGAGGAUCAUAUCACCUCCUUACAGCUACUGGUUCAUCAUAUUCUGCUGUUAUUAUGUGAAGACCAACAUGGAUUUUGGAUUGAAAUGAAGUCAAACUUGUUUGUAUGAACUGAAGCAUCCCAUAAACUGUGUUUAUAAAUAUCUGUACUGUUGUUAUACAUUGGGAAUGUGCUUUUUAGUUGUCUCGGAUGUUAAUAUAUGUUAAUUUAAUGAACACUUAAAUGCAUGAUACAUUGAGAACAAUUUUUCUGUCAUAAAUAAAUGUUGAUCAGAUGACAUUUAAAAAAAAAUCUUUAACAGUUUUAUAAUGAUAAUGAUAGAUUAUACUGCUGUAUUGUUACAUUAAAAAAACUGUUUAAAAAUAAAGUUUUUUUGUCCCAAAAGUACUGUAAUAUGUUUCUGUCUUUACAUUUACCAUAUUAACACCAUAGUAUUAAAAAAAUAUAACACUACAUUGGAGUUAACAAAUUACACAGAGGGAGUUAAUUUUUAACAAAUAAAAAAUAUUUAACACUUAUCAGUGUAAAUUUAUAGUUAGAUUUUUA